rnacentral:rRNA from 1 species
AGUGAACGCUGGCGGUAGGCCUAACACAUGCAAGUCGAACGGCAGCACAGUAAGAGCUUGCUCUUACGGGUGGCGAGUGGCGGACGGGUGAGGAAUACAUCGGAAUCUACUUUUUCGUGGGGGAUAACGUAGGGAAACUUACGCUAAUACCGCAUACGACCUACGGGUGAAAGCAGGGGAUCUUCGGACCUUGCGCGAUUGAAUGAGCCGAUGUCGGAUUAGCUAGUUGGCGGGGUAAAGGCCCACCAAGGCGACGAUCCGUAGCUGGUCUGAGAGGAUGAUCAGCCACAGUGGAAAUGAGACACGGUCCAGACUCCUACGGGAGGCAGCAGUGGGGAAUAUUGGACAAUGGGCGAAAGCCUGAUCCAGCCAUACCGCGUGGGUGAAGAAGGCCUUCGGGUUGUAAAGCCCUUUUGUUGGGAAAGAAAAGCAGCAGGUUAAUACCCCGCUGUUCUGACGGUACCCAAAGAAUAAGCACCGGCUAACUUCGUG